rnacentral:rRNA from 1 species
CCUACGGGUGGCAGCAGUGGGGAAUUUUGGACAAUGGGCGCAAGCCUGAUCCAGCUAUUCCGCGUGUGGGAAGACGGCCUUCGGGUUGUAAACCACUUUUGUAGAGAACGAAAAGUCUGUUGAUAAUACCGAUAGAUGAUGACGGUACUCUAAGAAUAAGCACCGGCUAACUACGUGCCAGCAGCCGCGGUAAUACGUAGGUUGCGAGCGUUAAUCGGAAUUACUGGGCGUAAAGGGUGUGCAGGCGGUUUUGCAAGAUGGAUGUGAAAGCCCCGGGCUUAACCUGGGAAAGCCAUACAUGACUGCAAGACUAGAGUGCGUCAGAGGGGUGUGGAAGUCCAAGUGUAGCAGUGAAAUGCGUAGAUAUUUGGAAGAACACCGAUGGCGAAGGCAGCCCCCUGGGACGCAACUGACGCUCAUACACGAAAGCGUGGGGAGCAAACAGGAUUAGAUACCCUUGUAGUC